rnacentral:sRNA from 1 species
GGUGUGUAAACGCAAGAUUCUAGAGAAGGAGAGCCCACUUCAGGAGUAUCUUUACUCCUAUGGAAAUAGUAUUUUGCUCAAUUGCACACAGGCUUGCAUGUGCCUAAUUCUGGAUACACACGUGUAGAAGGAACUAAUCAUUUUUACCUUCUCUUCACUCUCUCUCAACUCUGUGUGUGUGUGUGUGUGUGUAAUCUUGUAGUUGUAAAAGCAGAACAGACUGGACAGUUAGAUUUCCACAUCUCUCCUUGGAAAAGCAGGAUGCCUCCUCCUGUUAUGUGGCUCUUUUCCUCUCUCUUCCAUUCUUUCUGUUCGUAGGAAUGCCCCAGCUUCUGUUAUUCCUGAAAGAUGGAGAAGGGGCCAGGGAAGUGCAGCCUAGAUGGAAACUGUAAAGAUUGUUCCUUGGUUGUACGGGAUCAAAUGCGCCAAGUGCAGCAUCGGCUUCAGCAAGAAUGACUUCGUGAUGCGUGCCCGCUCCAAGGUGUAUCACAUCGAGUGUUUCCGCUGUGUGGCCUGCAGCCGCCAGCUCAUCCCUGGGGACGAAUUUGCGCUUCGGGAGGACGGUCUCUUCUGCCGAGCAGACCACGAUGUGGUGGAGAGGGCCAGUCUAGGCGCUGGCGACCCGCUCAGUCCUCUGCAUCCAGCGCGGCCACUGCAAAUGGCAGCGGAGCCCAUCUCCGCCAGGCAGCCGGCCCUGCGGCCCCACGUCCACAAGCAGCCGGAGAAGACCACCCGCGUGCGGACUGUGCUGAACGAGAAGCAGCUGCACACCUUGCGGACCUGCUACGCCGCAAACCCGCGGCCAGAUGCGCUCAUGAAGGAGCAACUGGUAGAGAUGACGGGCCUCAGUCCCCGUGUGAUCCGGGUCUGGUUUCAAAACAAGCGGUGCAAGGACAAGAAGCGAAGCAUCAUGAUGAAGCAACUCCAGCAGCAGCAGCCCAAUGACAAAACUAAUAUCCAGGGGAUGACAGGAACUCCCAUGGUGGCUGCCAGUCCAGAGAGACACGACGGUGGCUUACAGGCUAACCCAGUGGAAGUACAAAGUUACCAGCCACCUUGGAAAGUACUGAGCGACUUCGCCUUGCAGAGUGACAUAGAUCAGCCUGCUUUUCAGCAACUGGUCAAUUUUUCAGAAGGAGGACCGGGCUCUAAUUCCACUGGCAGUGAAGUAGCAUCAAUGUCCUCUCAACUUCC